rnacentral:rRNA from 1 species
UACAGAGGGUGCGAGCGUUAAUCGGAAUUACUGGGCGUAAAGCGUGCGUAGACGGUCAAGUAAGUCGGGUGUGAAAGCCCCGGGCUCAACCUGGGAAUUGCAUUCGAGACUGCGUGGCUAGGGUGCGGAAGAGGGAAGCGGAAUUUCCGGUGUAGCGGUGAAAUGCGUAGAUAUCGAGAGGAACACCAGUGGCGAAGGCGAGUCCCUGGACAACACCUGACACUGAGGCACGAAAGCUAGGGGAGCAAACAGG